rnacentral:rRNA from 1 species
UACGUAGGCAGCGAGCGUUGUUCGGAGUUACUGGGCGUAAAGGGUGCGUAGGCGGUUGUUUAAGUUUGGUGUGAAAUCUCCCGGCUCAACUGGGAGGGUGCGCCGAAUACUGAAUGACUAGAGUGCGGGAGAGGAGAGUGGAAUUCCUGGUGUAGCGGUGAAAUGCGCAGAUAUCAGGAGGAACACCUGUGGCGAAAGCGGCUCACUGGACCACAACUGACGCUGAGGCGCGAAAGCUAGGGGAGCAAACAGG